UUAUUAACAUCGGGGGCUCAAUAAAGAACUACACGUUAAGGACUGCCGCUGACCGUUUGUUUCGACUUAUUAGGAGUGAAAACGUGGAACACACCAGCAUCUUAGUAGUUGCAAGGCCCGUUUCGACCAGUGAGUCUGAGGACGUUUACACUAUUAACGACUCGAAUAGAACUUGUUUUUGGUGUGUUUUUCAGUCUCGUCGCAAUCUAGCAGGUUCGGAGGUUCGUAGAAGUAUGGUAAGAGGAAGAGAAGUAACCGAGGUAUACUUUCGUCGAGGAAGGAAAACUAGUAUCCCACCUUCUUCAGACUUAUCCAUACUGAGGGGAGGGUCAAAAGCAGGAGGACAGUAACCAAACAAAUACGUUUAGGCUACUGGCGGAAUGAGGGCUUUUUAGUGAGUUGCGACCACUAUUCGAGCAAAGCUCGCCGCCGUAGAAACGAGAACCGAAGAAGUGGGGCCGUUUGAGUUGACGCCUGUGCAUGUAGCCGUAUACCAUGUUGUUCUAGGGACUCGCGUGAAUACACACCCAGCGAUUGGCGCUGUUCGGCUAGUUCUUACCAAGAGGACCCUUCGACCGAUACUCGUCGCUGAGACUGGAACAGAACAGACUGAGGGUUCCGGCUUGAGAUACCUGUUGGUGUUUGUUGAAGUGUAGGCGUUGGUGGCCUUGACGACGAUAUGACAAACUAAGGCCUUUGAACCAGUAGGCCAACGGCUUACCGUGUCUGUAUACCGUCUCGAAGGUAAUGGGCUGACUGUGGCGGGAGGGACUGUACCAAAAUGGUGACUCGUGUUUACUACCAUAGAACUACGCGGAGUAACGAACCUCCCGGGGACUACUGGGCCGGAGGUCGCUGAUGAGGUACCCACCACUGAGAUCGAGUCUGGAAGUCCAACAUUAGACCUUACCCUGCUCUGGCAUAACCGCAUCUAGACGCACCCUACCCAGUAACCAGAGACGGGACAUAGUUUCGUUGUGACCGAAGUAGCAUUGACUUUGUUAACAGCUGUCUCCCCCACUCAAUAUGUACUGUAAGUGGCAGAGACUCCCGAGUGGUUCGUACGCGUACUGUGACCUGAUGUUUCCGUGAAAAUUUAAAGACCAGACCUUGUCGUUGAGCAGUAGUACCCUCCGAAAGUAUCUCGUAGGAUCAGGAUAGACACUUGCGAUGCGGAUAACGCCUGGUAAACCGAUGACACUACGGCGACUUUGUCAAGGCUUUACGUUGACGGAGUCACCCAAACUCGGACUACCGCAGUUGAAGAGGUCUCCUACAGCCUCUUUCCUCCUAGACUUUACACCAUAACUGUUAUUAAAGAGCUGGGACUCUCCAUACUUCUGUGGACUGUUCAAGAACAUACAGUCCUUGUCUUCAAAACUGGUUACGUGUCUUCUCACGUCUGCGUUAACGAGAACGAGGCGUAUACGAAUACGAUUGGACUCUUUACCUUCACGAAUACGAUUGGACUUUUUACCUUCACCCCGACGCCUGGUCAGUUCCACGAAUUAAACCAAUCCUCCUGAACAGCUGUGCCCCUUUAAAGCACUACCACCACCACUCUUGGACAUGGAGGCGGAACGGUCAAGUUGUCAACUGUUCCUCUCAUUCCAUAACUUCUAAUAUGAGGGUUAUCACCGAUCAGACGACUAUGAGCGUAGGUAGACGGAACACACCUAUACGUUCAGUUCUCCAUUUGCUGCUUAGUUCCUCUAAUUCUUGUUUGUAUGCGGUGUCGUGAACGUUUUAAGGUUCAACUUGCUUGAACUCUUACUUUCAUAUCUGGAAGGUAUAUAAACGAAACUUCUGUAACAAUGACGUUGUCUGUUAAAGAGUCUGAUGUUUUACGAACCCUUUCCACCGAAACCUUUUCAAAUGUUCCCUGAUAAUCCUCCACCACCAUUCCUUCAACGACAGUUUUCCGAAUCAUUUUCAAGGCCGGUUCCCCGGCUCCUCAAGUCUUUACUUCAACAAGAUUAACGGUUUAAUGUCGUAUCUUUGAAUCAAUCUGAAGAACCAAUGACGUGAAUACUUCUACUCUUCAAUAACUAUAUACUUAUGAAUGGAUUGUUUUCGAACCUACGGAAGGAAAAACUACGUUGUUCUUUAAGACACGAACUAACCGAAUGGGCCAAGUUCCAUUAAUUUCCCUAUCGUUCUCCCGAAGAAAUAGAGGUGGUUCUAAGUUCCAAUUGUUAUUAAGUAUCCCUAGAGUUUCGUUCGUUACAGAACAAUCUACGUCUUUACUUGGGAUUUUAUAGUCUAAAACCAUACCGUUCCUAUAAACCUCCUUUACUCGUUGUUCGCUUGUGAUAGGUGCAACAACCCUGUAUACCAAUGUACAGAGGACUUAUACGUUACCUUCCAAGGAAAAGACAGUUCAGACUGUGAAUAUCGAAACCGCAAGAUGACAACCUCUAACAUUCACCCAGUUUCUAGUCAAGUAGGGUAAAGUACUGCCUGAAAUGUUCGGAAUAUCGAAUGCGGACCUCGAAUACCUUUCUACCUUUACGUUCUCUUAACCACCUGAGCAGGUAACACCUCUUGACAGGUGAAGUACUUCAAGAUGCUACACAAGUAUAUCCAGAGAACACACAAGUUCUGUUAGGUUUACGGUCCGGCGAGUACAGUAGGUGACACAAGUACGAUCUUUUACUUUGCCGAGACGAAGGAUGAGGCUUCCUCGGAGAUAUGAAAUCCGUUGCCAUACUACUCCAACUUCUGGUUUCUCUAUGGUACCCUUAUUGGGACUUAUUCUACUGAUAGUGAUACGUUCUCCCUGCAAUCUACAAAUUAAGUAACAAGAGGAAAAAACAUUAGAAGAGGUCAAACAUGUCCACUUGUCAAGUCGUUAAGUACAAGGAUACCUGUUUAUUUAGGUAACUCAUAUAACAUUAGGACCAGCACCAAAUAAAAGUAUCUACCAAUGGUACAAACCUUAAAGGGAUAAAACGAGUAUACAAAGAGUGGAACGGUUGACCUUCUCCGAUGGACUAGUACACGCCUAGUGACGAAUGUAAACAAAAUGGAAGUACUUAAAAGACAUAGGUCGAAGUAGUCAAUCAGUUACCCAGACUUUGAGACUUAACGAUUAAACCAUUGUUCCGACGAUCAUUAACAUACAAGAGAAACUCGACCGUAGAAUCACAUUUUAGGUAAAAAAUAGAAUACGACGAUCACCGUUCGUUCGAUCUAAAUGUACGGACUUCAGACUGUUAAUAUAAAAUAAAUAAGUCCAUCUCACCCGUUUUGAAGUCCGUACCUCUUGAUAACUUUCAAGUCCAAGUUGGACUGGUCUUUUCAUUCUUUUUUCACCCCGAAGACACUUAUAGAGUCAUAGAUAGUCUUUCCAUCUUUCCAGGUAAAUUCACUAGAACUUCGCCAUUCUGGUCUUAUUUAACGGUCGGAUUGAAUAGGGCUUAGUAUGUAUGGAGGAGACUUCAAAGUCUGUAGUGUAAUUUUAUAAAUCGGUGAUGUAGACGUGGUGGAGAAAGUAUCAAAGUAGUAACUCUAUCAUAACAAACGCGAAGUUUUGUUAUUAGAACUUCACGCGCACGUAUGACAGUUAACACUACCGGACCAUUGAAAUCCUAAAAAAAAAGAAAAGUUUUCUGCCCGGAAGUCAUAUAGGUACCACGACGGCCUCUUACUUCUAUUUCCACGACUUAAACUGACACCCAGAGGCGUGCUAGACUACAACAACUUGUAACAGAAAGUACAACGAAAUACUAAAGCUGGUAAUGUGGUUGAAUCCCACAAACUCGACGUAACACCAUCGAAAGUAACUUCCACUUUUGUCUCAAUUUAAGGUUCCAAUGGUAAUCAAGAAAAACACCGUUCUUUGUCAGUUCAAGAGACUGUUCAUGUGUCCGAAGCAAACAGGGUUAUUGUCCUGUUAGUCUCCAAGUUGAAAUAUAUAGGUACAGUGUCUUUUUUAACCACACUACUCCUCUUUAAUUAAUAUAUUAAGUAUUAUAAAAUAUAGUUACGGUGUCUUUUUUGUCCUGUACAGCGGACUUAUACGGAACCUUCCGUAAAAGAGACAGUCCAGGCUGUGUAUAUCGAUACCCUAGAACGAUGACCUCUAACAUUCACCCGACUUCUAGUCGAGUGGAAUGGUAUAAUACUCCCUAAAGGGUUUGCAAUAUCUAAUGUAUUCAUGUUGUGUUGCUUAUUUUUAUGAUAUUGACAAAUACGAGCUGGUACAAAGUCCGUACCUUGAAUGACUUUCUUCCUUUUAGCCCCUAAAGGACCUCUGUCACGAAGACUUCUCGACAAAUGACGUAGUUCACAGCGACACGUAAGUAUAAACCGAGAACACACGGUCCGGUGAGUACACAACCAGCACAGAUACGACCUGUCACUCCGGCACGGUGAGUGUUGUGGUCUCGUCGGAAACAUAAAACAACCUUCCUCCGUACUUCGCCUUCUUCGUUCCCUCCUGAGACAAUUGUUCCGUUCGGACUGCUGCGAUCGUCCCGCAACCUACGAAUAAUAAGGAACGUCACUCCAUUAGACACACGGGACCUUGUAGUUUCCCUUCGUCUAAUACUAAUUGAAGGUUCACCCGAAAUCACCGGUUGACGACCACCUCUUAGGAGAAAGGGCAACUAUAGCACAGGAGGAGCUUACCAACCAGAUUUUAAUUAUGACUACGAACGAGACUAGGUAACUGACGAGUUAGAACAAAGCCACGAUAGCAAGCCUUGUCGCGGCCAACCGGCCAAGAACGACGAACCUGAGUAACGGGUCAUACCUUUUGACGACCUUCAAGUCGAAGUAGGAGUUGCUUUUCAGUCUUUUCACCCCGAAGGAACUUAGAGGGUCACAGAUAGUCUUUCCUUCGUCUCAGUUCAAGAUACUGUUGACUGUUCACGUGUUCGAAGAAAACGGGGUUCUUGUCCUGUUAGUCUCCAAGUUGAAAUGUAGGUACGGUGUCCUUUUAAACGCCCGGUUCCUCUUUAAUUCAUUAUGAUGUAAAAUAUAUAGAGAAGGUUCAUGAAAUAACGUUAGAGGAAUUUCUAGUUAGCUAAAAUACGGUUGGUAGGGUGAUGCUACAAGUCAAAGGAUAAUUUUUUUAUUUUUGACCACGAAAUGAGAAAAGUAAAGUCGUCAGUAGGUGUGUCUAUCUGAGGCGUUCUGGAUUUUCACAUAACCUUUAACCACGCUAUGGUGGUUUUGCAUUUCGUCUCCUCUACUCCAUAAUCGAACAACGAUCCCGUUUCAGAUCAAAGUCACGUUCUGAUGUCAACUCUAAGUCAGCAAAGAGCCGCACAGCUUGAAUGGACUUAAAGGCACGGUGCCAAGCGAAAGCCAACUUAAAGUAGCGAGUAUGGUCUUCUCUGUACAUACAUCACGAGGACGUCGACCCUCUCGAGACAACUCAAGUAGAAAG
rnacentral:rRNA from 1 species